GCUUAAGAAUGGGCAAGGGUAAAAAAUUAAUUACAGAUGAAUGAAAUCUUCUCACCUUUACCAAUUUCGUGUUUUUACGUAAGCAGAGGCUUUGAGAAAGCGAAGGGUUUCCCAACAAAAGCUUGAUUUCUUGUGCUCAUUGUAUGUUUCUGAAUUUUUGAAUCCUUCGUUUCCAAGGAAAAAUGGUUGUGGUGGAGGCGUUUCUGUCUUCCUUGUUUGAGGUGGUGCUGGAGAAGCUGGUGGCUGCCCCUUUGUUAGAUUAUGCACGCCGGCUCAAAGUUGACACAGCAGUGCUCCAGGAGUGGAGGAACACUUUGUUGCAUCUCCAAGCAGUGCUGCAUGAUGCUGAGCAGAGGCAGAUUCGGGAGGAAGCAGUGAAGAGGUGGGUGGACGAUCUCAAAGCUUUAGCUUACGACGUUGAAGAUGUCCUGGACGAGUUUGACGCUGAAGCUCAGAAACCCAGUUUGUUACAAGGACCUCAAACCAGCAGCAAGGUAUGGAAGCUUAUCCCCUCUUUUCAUCCUAGCGAUGUGAUCUUCAAUAAGAAAAUUGGCCCAAGGAUAAAGAUAAUCACCCGAGUUAGAUGCUAUUGUAAAAAGAAAGUCUGCUCUUCAUUUGAGACAGGGUGAUGGAGGGGUGUUAUCAGUGACUGAACAAAGGUUGACUACUUCUUUGGUAUGGGUGGGAUUGGUAAAACAAACCUCGCUCAAAUUAUCUAUAACGACAAGAGGGUGCAGGACAAUUUCCAUAUCAGAGUUUGGGAGUGUGUAUCUGAUCAGUUUGAUUUGGUUGGAAUAACGAAAGCAAUUUUAGAGUCGGUCUCUGAACAUUCAUCUCGUAACUCUAAUGCCCUUUAAUCGCUACAAGAUAGUUUGUAGAAAAAGUUGACUGGAAAAAGGUUUUUCCUUGUUUUGGAUGAUAUAUGGAAUGAGGAUCCCAUCAACUGGUUUUUUUUUUUUUUUUAUAAGUAAACACACAGAAAAUAUAUAUUAGCAAAAAGGACACCUUAAGGCUGACCCAAAAGCAUAUAGGAGGUAUACAAGAGGCGCCAAAAAGCAAGAACAAAAAGAAGAGGGGAUACAAAAAAUCACCAGCCCUCAACUAGACCCCAAUCAAUCAAAAAAACUGAUUAAAGGAAGAGGUCCUUAAUUUACAAUCUACUUAGUCCAAAACCAAAUAUUACAUACAAAAGAAUUUUUCAACCUAUGAAUCGAAAGCUCCUCGUUUUCAAAUGCAAUCAUAUUUCUUUCCUUCCCAAAAAAGACACAAAGGGGCUGUCAUCCACACCUUACUACACUUCUUGCCCAUGUUAAUACCACACCAACCAAGAAGGGUAUUUCUAACCGAAUAAGGAAGGACCCAAACUACGCCAAAAAGAGCAAACAAUAACUCCCAUAAAACUCUUGCCUUGGUGCAAUGAAUUAGAAUAUGAUCAAUAGACUCUUCUUCCGCACAACAAAGGAAGCAUCUAUUAGCUAAAGUCCACCCCCUCUUUUUAAGUUCAUCCCAUCAACUGGUGUACCUUACAAGCUCCUUUUAGAGAUGGAGCACAAGGCAGUGUGGUAAUGGUAACAACUCGGCAUGAAGAUGUGCAUCAAUUUUGCACACUACCCCUUCCCAUCAUCUUAAUAAACUCUUUGAUGAAGACUGUUGGUCACUAUUUGCACAUGUUGCCUUUAAAAACAUAACUCCCGGUGCGCGUCAAAACUUGGAACCUAUUGGUAGGAAAAUAAUAAAGAAAUAUGACGGUUUGCCUGUGGCUGCAAAUACAUUGGCAGGUCUGUUGCGCCGUAAACAAGAUGAGAGGACUUGGAGGGAUAUGCUGAAUAGCGAAAUAUGGGAUUUACAAAUGGAACAGAGUAGAAUUCUUCCAGCUCUAUACUUGAGCUACCAUUUUCUCCCCACAAAAUUGAAGCAGUGUUUUUGCAUAUGGCUCCAUCUUUCCUAAGGAUUAUGAAUUUGAAAAGGAGAAGUUAAUUUUGUUAUGGGUGGCACAAGGCAUAGUGGGUGACUUGAAAGAAGGGGAGAUGUUAGAAGAUGCUGGUGAAAUAUGUUUUCAAAACCUUUAUCAAGGUCAUUCUUUCAACAAUCCAAUCACAAUAAGUCAUUGUUUGUGAUGCAUGAUUUGGCUCUAUUUGUAUCCGGAGAAUUUUGCUUCAGAUUGCAAGUGGGAAAGCAAAACAAUGUUUCAAAGAGGGCUCAACAUAUUUCAUAUGACCGUGAAGAACUCAAUGUUUCCAAGAAAUUUGAUCCCCUUCAUGAAAUUGAUAAAUUACGAACCUUCCUACCAUUAAGUUAGCGUGUUUAUGUUUCAACUUGCCGCCUAGCUGAUAACAUCCUACAUGAUUUAUUGCCAACAUUCAAAUGUUUGCGGGUUUUAUCCUUAUCUUACUAUAAUAUCACUUAUUUGCCUGAUUCAUUUGGAAAUUUGAAACAAUUGCGGUAUUUAAACCUUUCUAACACCAACAUACAAAAGUUACCUUACUCAAUAGGUAUGCUUUUGAAUUUGCAAUCACUCAUGUUGUUAAAUUUCUUGGGCUUACCGAAUUGCCAUCUGAAAUUGGAAAACUCAUCAAUUUGCAUUAUUUGGAUGUUUCUAAAACAAUAUUAAAAGGGUCACCAACGGGAAUCAAUAGUCUAAAAGAUCUUCGAAGAUUGACUACUUUUGUUGUUGGCAAGCAUAGUGGUGCAAGAAUUGCAGAGUUAUGGGAUCUCUCACACUUGCAAGGAGCCCUCUCCAUUUUGAACUUGCAAAAUGUGGUGAAUGAUAUGGAUGCUUUAGAGGCUAAUUUGAAGAAAAAGGAAAACCUUGAUGAUUUAGUGCUUGUGUGGGAUCCGAAUGCGAUUGAUGGUGAUUCAGAAAAUCAAACCAGAGUUCUUGAACAUCUUCAGCCUCAUACCAAGGUGAAAAGGCUCAUGAUUCAACACUACUAUGGCAUAGAAUUUCCAAAAUGGUUAGGAGAUCCUUCAUUCAUGAAUUUAGUUUUCUUACAACUUAAAGAUUGUAAAAGUUGCUCAUCGUUGCCACCACUUGGGCAGUUACAGUCUCUCAAGAAUCUGUGAAGAUGGAUGAAGCACUACAAAAGGUAGGGGCAGGGUUGUAUGGGAAUAAUGGUUGUAGUUCAUCUUCAAUUAAGCCAUUUGGAUCCCUAGUGGUUUUGAGGUUUGAAGAGAUGUUGGAGUGGGAGGAAUGGGUUUGUUGUGGAGUUGAGUUUCCUUGUCUGAAGAAGCUUUAUAUCAAGAAAUGUCCAAAGCUGAAAGGAGAUAUACCCAAGCACUUUUCUUAUUUAACAAAACUUGAGAUUAGUGAAUGUGGGCAGCUGGUGUGUUGUCUUCCAAUGGCUUCAUCCCUUUGUGAAUUGAAGUUAGAUAAAUGCGAGGAUAUGGUGGUUAGAAAUGCUGUUCACCUCACCUCACUUCCUUGGAGGUUAGUAAUGUUUGUGAAAUAUCAGUUGAAUUGCUGCAGAUGCAUUCUCUUGUAAAGUUGAAUGUGUAUGAUUGUCCAGAUAUAAAGGACUUGUCACCCAUUAUCCACAACCUCACCUCUCUUAAACACAUGGAGAUCAAGGAAUGUGAAAAUCUUUCAGCUCUUCGAGAUGGGGCUACCACCCAUGCUUGAAACCCUUGAGAUCCAAGGCUGUCCCAUUCUGGAGUCCCUACCAGAGGGAAUGAUGCAAAAUAAUACUACUCUCCAAAGCUUGUCUAUCAUGCAUUGUAAUUCUCUAAGGUCCCUCCCCAGUAUCAAUUCAUUGAAAACACUUUUAAUUGAAUGGUGUGAAAAAUUGGAGUUAUCUUUGGCUGAGGAUAUGACACACAACCACUACGCUUCCCUUACAACUUUAUAUAUAGGAAUUAGUUGUGAUUCUCUCACGUCCUUUCCAUUAGCCUUCUUCACAAAGCUUGAGACACUUGAUAUUUGGGGUUGUACAAACCUAGAGUCCCUUUACAUUCCAGAUGGAUUCCACCAUGUGGAUCUCACAUCUCUUCAGAGCUUGUAUAUCUAUUAUUGCGCUAAUCUGGUAUCUUUUCCACAAGGAGGAUUACCCACUCCCAACCUCAGAUCACUUCUAAUCAGCUCGUCCAAGAAGCUCAGGUCACUGCCCCAAGGGAUGCACACCCUCCUUACAUCCCUUCAACAUUUGCAUAUAUCUAAUUGUCCAGAAAUUGAUUCAUUUCCCGAAGGGGGUUUGCCCUCUAAUCUAUCUUCCCUUCACAUCUGGAAUUGCAACAAAACUUGUGGCCUGCCGGAUGGAGUGGGGCUUGCAAACGCUUCCCUUUCUUAGAAGCUUGUGGAUUGGAGGACAUAAAGAAGAAAGAUUGGAGUCAUUUCCUGAGGAGCAGUUUCUGCCCUCCACUCUCACCUCUCUUACAAUUGGGGCUUUUCCAAAUCUUAAAUCCUUGGACAAUAAGGGGCUUCAGUAUAUCACCUCUCUUGAAACUCUGUAUGUUUUGAAUCGUGAGAAGCUCAAGUCCUUCCCAAAACAUGGGCUGCCCUCCUCCCUUUCUCGUCUUAAUAUUAGUAAGCGUCUGCUGCUAAAGAAGAGGUGCCAAAGGGAUAAAGGGAAAGAACGGCCCAAGAUUUGUCACAUCCCCUGCAUAGUGAUUGAAGAAGAGUUCAUCUUGUCAUGAGGGCCUUGCAGCAUCCAGGCUCUUGCUUUCUCUGCAAUUAUUGAUUCAGGUACCUACAUUCUGCUUUUAUUUAUUUUUUGUACAAUCGAUGCUCACAAGUUUGCAUUUCAUUCUCAUUUAUCAAUCAAUUCCGUCUCACUCACUGUAUGGCUUACAUUUCUGCUUUAGAAUCGAAACCAAUUUUUUAAACUCUAAUAGCAAACAAAGCAAAUUGCUUGAAUAUCAAUUUAUAUUUUAAAUUAUGUUUUUAUUUUUAUAAAUAUUAAAAGUGUGUAGUAUUUUUGAAUUUGUUUCUUAUUAUAAAAAAAAAAAAAACAUUUUUAGCAGUUAUGUAACAAAAAAGAAAAAGUAUUUUUAAGUCUGUGCUAUGUAGUUGUCAUUAGACAUAGGUUCCUCUUCAUGUUAUGCAGCUUCAUCAAUGGCAUCACUCGAGACUUUGGAAGAGGUAAUAUUUUUUGUCCUUUGGAAUAAAAAUGUCUUUUACUACCAUGAAGAUUCUGUUUUACUGGAGUACCUAUUAGUAUGCAUGCUGCAGUGGCAUUGCAACACCUUUCAGAAGUUAACAUGAAAUUAGCCAGGUUAUAAACUUUGGAAAUUAGGCAGCUUCUACCCUUGAUACACAAAAGCACUUUUCAGCUGAAUCUGUUUUGGAAGAUGAAAUUUAAUUCCAUGGUGCAAUUUAGUGUUUCAUUCUUUGUUUUUGUUUUUGUUUUUCAUAUGGUUUUCAACAUGUGACUGCACUUUGUGGAUGCUUGUUUCUUGGUUAUUUUGAUAUUAGAAUGGAGGUUGGUGUUGGAAAAGCUGAUGUGGAACCACCAAGACAGAAAACUAUAUGGAUGGUAUGGGCAUUGGGUGGACUUCUCAUUUCUUCUGUGUCUUGCAUGGCACUCAAGUGUGCUUUCUUGUAUAGGAAGAACUUGGACAUGGUAGAGGACUUUUUAGGAGCAUAAAGGAAGUAAGAAGAAACCUUAAGAAUUAUAGCCAUGAAGGUUAAGAGACUUCUAUUACUCGAAUAACUUUGAGACAUAUCCUAGCAAUAAAAAUUAUACAAUAUUUUACAUGUCCAAACCACUUCUUUUGGGUUCUCUUGACCUUCAACAUUCAAGGGAAAAAACAAUCGAGACUUUAAUGCUUUAAAAGUUAAUGUUUUAGAAAUUUAUAUAAGCAUGUUGACAGAUGUACUUUUUGAUGCAGGUCAUUGAAUGGGUUGUUAACAAAACCCUUAGAAAUAGAAAUUACAAGUUGAUCUGAACUUUCAAAACUAGUUAUUUUUUCACUUCAAAAUUGAAUAUAAGACUUUGUUAAUGGACAAAUUGCAUUUCAAUAUUGCAGGCUCGAUCUAGUGUAGUGCAAACUUGUUGGCUAUAAGAAAAGCUUUCAGUAUCACUAUAGCUGUUCUAUUUUGCUGGGGUUGUCUCAGACCAUGUGCUGUAAGAGAACAAUAACUUUCUCGAAGCCCUUUCAGAAGCUUAUAAUAAAUCUGAAAAGUUCCCAUGGCACAGUUAGAUAUUCAAAUCCUUGAUACCUACAUGGAUAAGUAAGUGGAGAUCUGGAGGUCUCAAAGGUGAGGCAAACACAGUGCAGAAUCACUAAUGUGGUGGGAGCAGAACAUGCAAUGCUACCCUUAAAUGUGAAGAGUAGGAAAUGGCCACAAAGUCCUCUCCUUGGUUACCAAGUUCAUAUAUCAAAUCAACUGGAUGAUCUCACCUCCACACUGGCAGACUUCUUGUUUCACCCAGAAGGUUUCUCUUACUAUUGGUAUCAGAACUGUGUACAUGUCCAGUUCUUUGGUCUCUGAACUGUGAGCAUACAAACAAUGUUUCCCAAUAUCUGUUGUGUUCAAAAGGCAUGCAAGUCCUACAAUUUUGCCGCUUACAAAGUCAGUUUCUUCUUCAUGAGGAAUGAGAUAUUUGAAAGUUGUACUGCUUUUACUUGUAUUCAAUGGAAUAUAUAACAUUUUUGCCC